CUCAUGCUGACUGGAGGAAAUUUUUAGGGUCAUGUAAAGAGGCUACAGACCAUGAGUGAGAUGAUAGCACAACUACAGGCUGGGCUCCGCUUGCUAACAGGUCCAGGGGCACAUUUUUGAUGGCUGAAGCUGCUGUUUAUAUUCAAAAGCUCGCCCCCUGCUCCCCUUCCUGAUGUGGAUGUUUGGCUCCAACAAACCCAAACAGGCCAAAAACAGUUGGCUGCAUCGGAGAGCCCACCGUUCACGAUCCACACGUGUUUGGAGAAAACAGGGGACGUAUGCAGUUUGUCAGUUAUAGCGCAGCAUGGGCUAUCCUGUGGGUAGACUUAUUUUUGUUUAGAAACUUGACAGACAAAAGAAUGAUUCAUGAGCAAUCUGGUGUGACAUAUUUGUAAUCUGGAUUAACAGUGUCUGUUUUGUCUGUCAAGAUAAAGGAAAGUGAAAUAAUUAAUUACUAAUAACUUCUUGAUGACACAAAGUAGGAGUAUAAUGGAUAGAUCAGCUACUUGCUGUCUAUAGGCUGACAAAUACAGGUGAUUUUUCAGAACUUUAACACAAAAACAGAGUCAAUGAGACUGAAACUAUGACUGUAAAACUGAAACAAUGAGCUCAAAGACGAUACAAAUUUAAAGGAGAGUAAAUUUUUUUGUUUUUCCUCAAUGACAGCAUCUUCCACAUGUCUCUAGUCACUCGUCUUUUCCUUUGACAACAUAAAAAUAUUCACAAGAGCAGGUUUAAAACUGUCAUAUGUUCACAUAUUUCGCCCUGUGGUUCUGGGGUUAUUUUAAGGAAAUGAACUUUAGCCUCCUUUCCUAAUUGGUAAUACUGUGAUAAUGUGAUACUUGUUUUAUUUUUUCCCUCUCCUUUAGAGGUUGGUGCAGCUGGGAGAAAGCCUGAAAAGUAAUUAGUGGACCCUGACAGGCAGAACACCUUAUCCUCGUUAUAUACGCUGUACUCAAGUUUACCACAACUACUGAUUGUAAAUACUCGCCAGAUUUAAAACAGAAUAUUUCUGAUCUGGCACUGAUUUGUAGUAUCGAAUAGCUCUCCGUUUAUUUUAAUUACUACAUUUAAAAAUGGUCAUGUGCAAUAAUGCAAAUGUUCACUAUUUGUAAUAUAAUAUAUGAAUACAAGGAAUCAAAAGGGGCCAACGGGGGACACCAAAAUAGACAUUAGCUAUCUUUGUCCUCAUGUGACUUACAAAAACAGCUUCUAGUUACCUUCACUGUUCACAUGAGCAAAUGCAAUUGGUCCCUCAGGAGCUUUUGCCUUCCCCGAACCAAUGGGAAGCCAGUAUAUAUAUUGCUCAAAGAUCCUUCAGCAGAGAGGAUGUUUACUAGCAGAAGUGGAUCUGUCCUUCUCAUUCCAUUUAAAUGUCGACUCUUAUUAUGACAGUUCAAUCAGUGAAACUUUGAAUAUGGAAAGAACAAAUGUGUGAAAGGGAAACCUUAGUGGGAGUUACCAUUCAAGAGUGCUAAGGGUAUAGAUGUUCAGUUAGAUAUAACAUUUCCUGUCCUUUAAUAAACAACAGCCAGUGACCACGAACUACGAAGGAUUUCUCAGAGUGCUGGCUUGAAGUUUCCCUCUAGUCUUGGUCCCCACAUCCCCCUGAAUUCCUCUUGUACAGUUUUAGGCAUUCCAGGAUCCACGUGUGAGGCAUUGAGUCAAAGACCUUCUUGUAGUCAAUCCAGGCGGUGCAUAUGUUGAUUUCCCCAAAAACUGUUCCUGAGUUUUCCUGGAUGCCUGAGCGUGAGUGUGAGCCGAGGAGUGUAACCAGUUUGCGUGGAGUGUAUCGGAGUACAGGAGUGGAGCCUGUGCAGCCAAAGGAUCGAGGAGCAAGUGUAGAGUUUGUUUUUUCUCCCACCUGCUCUGGAUCCCUGGAGACCCGACCUUUCCCCCACUUUGUAUAUAGUUCACCUGCUUUGUAAAUAAAGAGUGUUUUGCCUGAUUUUUGAGUCUGUUUUAAAAUAUUUAAAUGCAAUUUCCUAAUUCUUUGUGGAAGUAAAAAAAAAAAAAAAAAUCAGACACUGGAC